UAGGCAGGAGCCAAUGGGUGCUGGCAUCUAGCUGUUAACUAGAGUUAUAUGGGAUCGAAGCCCAUCUGUCUAG
rnacentral:tRNA from 1 species